AUAGAACGCUGGCGGCAUGCCUUACACAUGCCAGUCGAACGGCAGCACGGGUGCUUGCCCCUGGUGGCGAGUGGCGAACGGGUGAGUAAUACAUCGGAACAUGUCCUGUAGUGGGGGAUAGCCCGGCGAAAGCCGGAUUAAUACCGCAUACGAUCUACGGAUGAAAGCGGGGGACCUUCGGGCCUCGCGCUAUAGGGUUGGCCGAUGGCUGAUUAGCUAGUUGGUGGGGUAAAGGCCUACCAAGGCGACGAUCAGUAGCUGGUCUGAGAGGACGACCAGCCACACUGGGACUGAGACACGGCCCAGACUCCUACGGGAGGCAGCAGUGGGGAAUUUUGGACAAUGGGCGAAAGCCUGAUCCAGCAAUGCCGCGUGUGUGAAGAAGGCCUUCGGGUUGUAAAGCACUUUUGUCCGGAAAGAAAUCCUUGGCCCUAAUACGGUCGGGGGAUGACGGUACCGGAAGAAUAAGCACCGGCUAACUACGUG
rnacentral:rRNA from 1 species